CAAGAGAGCUGCUCUAACCUUCAUGUGACGCUUUUCUCUAAUGGUCAAAAUCUGAGAAGUGAUGGGACUUCUUAUUCGAAAUAUCCUGGGACUUCACUUUCUUUUUCUCAUAGAUUUCAAUAACGUUAUAUUGCACUGUGGAGUGAGAGGGAAUUUGGAAAAGAGCUUGGACUGAUACUCAUUCAGAUUUCCCUUGCUGUGCACUCGACAGGCCACACUGAUGUUAUGUCACUCACUCAGCAAGGUAAAGCAGGUUCCUGCUUGUUGAGUCCUUUGACUGCAUAUUAUGAUGGAAAGAUCACAGCCUUUGGAGUCAUUAGAUAUUGCUUCAAGUCUUGGACCUGCCCCUUACAAGAAAACCUUGAUUUUAUUCCACUACUGACUCUUGUCCACAAACUGAACGAUAAUAUUCGUUAUAGCAAUAUGGAAAUUUAUUUAUAUUUCUCAUCAAGAAAUUACAUUUGCCAAAUAUUUCUCCCAUCUAUUUUUCUCUAAAUAAGGCAACGCAAACUGGUAUCCUACGUGUACAGCUUCGGCAGAUGGUGAUGCAGAAGGUUAAGCGUGAUUUUGGAGUUUCCUACACACCAUCUCCUCAUUCUUCUCAACCUCACACACCCCACGUGUACAGAACUCUGGCUGCCCGAGGCCUCCACCAUGACAUCCAGUGGACAUCUUGGUUUUCCCUGGCACCCUAAUGGCAUAAAUCCACCCUGUCUUUCAUUCUUUCCAGGCCUCUCCUUUGCAGAAUUUAACCAUGUAAGUAGAAAGUAAAAACCUGUGCAGGACUUAACUGUGAAUAAAGCCUAUAGG
rnacentral:lncRNA from 1 species